rnacentral:rRNA from 1 species
AUACGGAGGGGACUAGCGUUGUUCGGAAUUACUGGGCGUAAAGCGUACGUAGGCGGAUCAGAAAGUAUGGGGUGAAAUCCCAGGGCUCAACCCUGGAACUGCCUCAUAAACUCCUGGUCUUGAGUUCGAGAGAGGUGAGUGGAAUUCCGAGUGUAGAGGUGAAAUUCGUAGAUAUUCGGAGGAACACCAGUGGCGAAGGCGGCUCACUGGCUCGAUACUGACGCUGAGGUACGAAAGUGUGGGGAGCAAACAGGAUUAGAUACCCGUGUAGUCC